rnacentral:sRNA from 1 species
AUUCUUUCACUGCUGGAGGCAGAGAGACACUGUCAGUCUCUCCCUGGAGGACAGUUGACUAAGUGUGGAGAUUAUGUGGUCAUGUCUGUCUACUUUGAUCUGAGCAGAAGAAUGGGAUACUUUACCAUCCAGACCUAUAUCCCCUGCACACUCAUUGUCGUCCUAUCCUGGGUGUCUUUCUGGAUCAAUAAGGAUGCUGUUCCAGCCAGAACAUCUUUAGGUAUCACCACUGUCCUGACAAUGACUACCCUCAGCACCAUUGCCCGGAAAUCGCUCCCCAAGGUCUCCUAUGUCACAGCGAUGGAUCUCUUUGUAUCUGUUUGUUUCAUCUUUGUCUUCUCUGCUCUGGUGGAGUAUGGCACCUUGCAUUAUUUUGUCAGCAACCGGAAACCAAGCAAGGACAAAGAUAAAAAGAAGAAAAACCCUGCCCCUACCAUUGAUAUCCGCCCAAGAUCAGCAACCAUUCAAAUGAAUAAUGCUACACACCUUCAAGAGAGAGAUGAAGAGUACGGCUAUGAGUGUCUGGAUGGCAAGGACUGUGCCAGUUUUUUCUGCUGUUUUGAAGAUUGUCGAACAGGAGCUUGGAGACAUGGGAGGAUACAUAUCCGCAUUGCCAAAAUGGACUCCUAUGCUCGGAUCUUCUUCCCCACUGCCUUCUGCCUGUUUAAUCUGGUCUAUUGGGUCUCCUACCUCUACCUGUGAGGAGGUAUGGGUUUUACUGAUAUGGGUCUUAUUCACUGAGUCUCAUGGAGAGAUGUCUGUUCUAAGUCCACUUAAAUAAUCCUCUAUGUGGUUGAUAAUGAUCUGAAUCUGUUUCUAUGUCCAAACCUGGUAAAUUUUAUAAUGUCAUAUUGUUUGUGCCCAGCCCUCCUUUGGUUAGUGUACUUUGAACUUCGAUGUUUGCUGUGUUUCAAACCUGCAAGGCAAAGUAAAAUUAGAGCAAGAACAUUCAAACCAAAUAAGAUAUUUUUCAGCUACAGCAAAUGAAACAGUGAAAGCCCUGACUAUUUACAGUAGUGGUAUCCUUACUAGAUUCAUAAUGCAAUUAGAUAGAAAAGGUCCAAAACUGUACCCUAUGUUCACUCCGGGUCAAGUUGUGAUAAAUUUGAUCCCAGUAGAAUACCUCCCUCAUUUAAGAAAAAUCAUAACUCACUUUAAAUAUGAAAGCCUAGUCCAGAAAUCUAUUUCACCUUUAUCUCAAGAUAGGAAGAAAAUUUCCUCCACAUUCAUGUACAAUGAUGUAAAUAUUUCAAUAACUUAGAAUGCUUCAAGUUUAGUGCAUGCAUCUCUUUAGAUCCAAAAUAAAUGGAUUGAAGUUAUCAUCCUAUUGUCUUUUAUUUUGUGUCCUUGGGCUAUAAAAGAAUCCUGAAUGUAAUUAUAAGGAUUUGGGUUUGGAAAUGGAGGGAGGAAUUUUCAUUGCCUUCUCCCUCAUGCAUGAAGAUUCGAACAGCUUAUUUUUUCCUUGUAUGACAUAUUACAACACUUUAAGUAAAAUAUAGACUGGAUAAUCAACAUUUGCCACCUCUAAAUAUGCCCAAUUUCAUAACUAGAGUAUAAAGUAAUUGUAUGUGCUUGCCGCUAUUUUUUUCUUCCUUUUAGGAUGAUAGAUCAUAACAGAACUUAUUCUCCAUCUCAAGAUCUGCUUCUAGUGAUUGUGAGUGCCUUGUGGGCAGAAUCCUUGUCAUUUCCUCUUUGGGUCCGUAGCACCUUGCAUAGUGCCUGGCACAUAGUUGGUGCUCAAUAAAUAUGGUUUGAAGUGAAUUGCCCUCACAUGCUUCUGGCAAAUCUCUGUGCUGGCCUGAAACCAGUGAUUCAUCUUCUCACAUAGGUGUUGUCAAGUGAUAUUUGAUUUUGUAAAAAUAACCAGUAGGAUCCAAAGAACUUUAGCUAUUUAUGUUCAUCUUCAAAAAAUUAUUUUAGGCAAAGUCCAUACUCCUUUUAAAACAAUAUUUAUGUCCUAUGUUUGUGUAUAGAAAUGACUCUACUAGGGCAUAAUUAGAGUUUGUGUAUUAUUUUUCCAGGUUUGGGGAUGAGUCAGUCCUUGCCCAUCCACAAUUUUGUUUGUGAACUUAUAACAGGAAUAAGCAAAAUUCAUACCUGACUAGUGUUCAGAAUGUAGCAUUCUGUGCGAAAAAGUAUUGAAGAUUAGCUUUUAAAAACUGAAAAAAAAAAAAAAAAUGAAUGACUCACAUAGAGGUUGAGCCAAUGACUGUGGCCUCAUUAGAUUACAUUGUAGUUAAACAAAGCAAUUUCUCCAGACUUAAAACAUGAUGAGUUGAGCUCUAUCUUCAUGUACUCAUCCUGAAUCCUUAUUUUUCUAAAAUAGCACCCUUUGUUAAUUAUUUUUAUGGAAAUUAUUACUCUGUCAUAAUUAAAUCAUAGCUAGUAUAACUUUACAGAUAACCUAAAAAGAAUAGAAAAGAAGAGAGAGCGGCUUUGUCAAUAUAAAACCAUGUAAAGUCAUCAUCAAGUCAUCUGGAUGAAUCUUGAAACACAUUUAGCUGCCAGUUUUACAAACCUUUAAUAUAUCAGUGCUCCAGUAUAUAACCUCAAACAAAUGUAAAUAGAAUGAAUUAUUUUCUUGUUUUGAAUUGUCAGUAUAUUAAAUGUUGACUCUUUGGGAGAGUUGUUGGCAAGUUUCAAUGGUGAGAAACAUAUUAUUGUCAACUUGAAAUGUGUUCUGUAAUGGGGACACUACAAAAAGCUAGCUUUCCAAUGUGUGCAUAGUAUUGGCAAUAUGAAUAUAUAUUAUAUAUAAUCUAAUAAUUAUUAUAAGCUGCUCCCUGUCUAUGUAUUUGGAAACCUUUUCACAAAGGGAAUUGCCUAACGUGGACUUUUACAAUAAAAAUGCUGC